rnacentral:lncRNA from 1 species
AACAUCUGGGUCCUUCCAUCCGUACUCUCCCAAGACAUAUAGCAAGAUUUCAUCUUCUCAAUUUGACUUUUCUUUAGCCACUUAGUCUCUCUGCAAACUCUCAUGGGUCAGUCUUGAACUGUUCCCAAUAAAAUCUCCAUCCGAUCUUUCGAUUCAUAUAAAUGGGAUUCCUUAUACGCGGUACGCCUCUACAAUGGUGAAUUCUCUCUCAGCUUACAGUAACUCGAAAAAUCGCGGCGACAGAAAUUUUCGACCAGGAACUUGAGGUCAGUUUAGGAGGCGGGGAGAAAUGCAAUGAGGUUAAUUUAAUCAUAUCCCAGUAAAUUAUUAGUCUCCGAGGCAUUUCUGUUCAGUACAUUUUACCCCAUUUAAUAUUGUACUGCGAGAAAGAAGGGAACCUGAGAUGAACAUCCUUUCGGUAUUUUCCAUUAUAGUUCCUAUUUCUGUAUAUUUAUGAGUUCACUGUAACCUUUGCAGAUCUUUCAGAUGCUCCUCACAUCAGCACAGGAGGGUAAGAUUAAAAAUGGGAACAUCAACUACUUUUCCUAUUUCUGUAUAUUUAUGAGUUCACUGUAACCUUUGCAGAUCUUUCAGAUGCUCCUCACAUCAGCACAGGAGGGUAAGAUUAAAAAUGGGAACAUCAACCACUUGAUUCUUAUUCACUAAUUGCAGUGAAGAUAUGAGGAAUUCUUGUUUUUUUUUUUUUUUUUUUUGAAUGAAAGAUAUGAAGAUUAUUGCGAAGUGUAGACAAAUAGAACUUCAUAUAUUCUUUGCUGUUGGAGUGUCACUCCUAAUGGUUAUUAUAUCUGAUUUGCUUAUAGUUGAAUGUAACUUCUAUAUAUUCAUAUUUAAAAGUGGAGAAAAGUAAAUAUAUUUAACAAGUUUAAUAAGUUUAUAUAAGAUGUAAAAAAGUACAAAAACUAAUGACAACAGAAAAUUAACACAAUAUUUCUAUACUUCAUUCCAUAUCAUACCCAAGAAUCAAGACCAUGUUGUAAAGAACUCAAGAAUAUUGGUCAAAGUUACAUUUAGCCCCAUAUCUUUGUUAUCUGGGAUCUUGGACGUGAAACCAGUAAAGGAGAAAAUAAAACAUUUAGAUUGAAAGGGGAAGAAGGGUGAGAAGGUAGAUUGAGAGAAAAAUGGAAGAAGUCCACAGACUAUGCCUUGUACAAUUUUAUUAGCUUGUUCUUGGUUGAUUCCAACACAUUUCUCACUGCAACAUAAUGUCUCAGUUCUGCCAAGUUUUAUUGAUUUUCUAUGUAGACGUGGCGAAUAUGAGCAAUCUUAUACCAAUCCUGACUCAGAUGAUCUGCUAUCCUAAAAGUGAACUCGGCUGGCAUGUCUUGCAAUUUGAGUUCACGGAGAGUUUUUAUGUACUGGAGUCCAUCAGGAAGCAUCUUCAGAUUUUGACAGCAUCUUAUUUCCAAAUCUUUAAGCACAGGUAAUGCUCCUUCCUCCACAACACAUUCCUCCAGCACCUCCAGCUUCCAGAAUUUGAGCACUCGAAGCUUUNNNNNNNNNNNNNNNNNNNNNNNNNNNNNNNNNNNNNNNNNNNNNNNNNNNNNNNNNNNNNNNNNNNNNNNNN